CAUUACGAAGCUCAGAGCGUUAACCUUUUAAGUUAAAAUUAGGGACACACACAGUCUCCGUAGUGA
rnacentral:tRNA from 1 species